UAAGGUUCUCCAGAGGUGCUGUUGUUUCUUG
rnacentral:piRNA from 1 species